UAAUUGCAGUACCAAAUACCUAACUUGUCACUCCCUUUUAUCUUCAUCUUAAUCUUACAUAUUUUCACUUUUGUAAGGAGGUUUGGAAAUGGCUACACGCUGUCUUUCUUGUAGUUACAAUCGCUCUUCAAUCUUCCACCGUUGCCGCCAACUUCGCCGUCCCUUUUCUAUCACCAUUUCUCGGUGAUAAAGUGUGCAAAGUAAUUGUUUGUGGAAAGGGAAAAUGCGUGGCUUCGAAUAGAACCAGUCUUGGAUACGAGUGUGAAAGCGAGAAAGGGUGGACACAAUCACGCCCACACGAUGGCAAUUCCUUCAAAUUCCUGCCUUGCGUUGUUCCCGACUGUCAGUUCUUUCUAAUUUCACCAAAUAUUCAGAUUACAUUUACUGUCGUUUAGGUUUUUCAUUGUUUGUUUGUUUAUCUCAAGGUGCAGUCAAUUUCAGCGGUGAUAAAGCUCCUGCUCCUGCUCCUGCUCCUUCACCCAGCCACAACAAAUCAAGCUUUAUUGAUCCUAUGAAACCAGUCUCAAUUUGCAAUCUCUUCUUUGAUCAUUUAGUUAAUUCCCACAUGUAGUGUUUUGAUCAUGUGCUCGCGGACUAAUUGUGGAGGGGGCACGUGCAAGAAGACGUCCAUGCUCACUCACACGUGUGAGUGUACAACUUGCUCAAUUCCACUUCUUUCCCAUGCCUCAAAAAACGUGCAAUUGGAGGGGAGAGAAACAACACGACGAACUCAUCGGAUCCGAGCCCUCGACAAAGCUCCAGUGAAGUUGCUGACAGCGCUUCAAGCUUUAUCACCUGCAGUUGGUUGAUUGCCAUGGUUGCAUUGUCAGCUCCAAUUCUGUGAAACUACUGUUGAAAGAGGCAUCCAUCCUGUGAUUCAUUAGCAUAGUACUUAUAAUUACAGCUAGCUAGUGUGGUUUGGUUAUCGUAGGAUUGCAGUUGUGUAGAUAGUCAUUCUCGUUAUAUCCUUUUCACAUGGAACUCACGUACAUCUACCAAUAAACUAAUCGAAUUCCAAUUCGAAAAUCUCGCAUAUAUGAUUUGUAAGCUCCAGUUUUUUAAUG